rnacentral:rRNA from 1 species
GAUGAACGCUGGCGGCGUGCCUAAUACAUGCCAGUCGAGCGAACAGACGAGGAGCUUGCUCCUCUGACGUUAGCGGCGGACGGGUGAGUAACACGUGGAUAACCUACCUAUAAGACUGGGAUAACUUCGGGAAACCGGAGCUAAUACCGGAUAAUAUAUUGAACCGCAUGGUUCAAUAGUGAAAGACGGUUUUGCUGUCACUUAUAGAUGGAUCCGCGCCGCAUUAGCUAGUUGGUAAGGUAACGGCUUACCAAGGCAACGAUGCGUAGCCGACCUGAGAGGGUGAUCGGCCACACUGGAACUGAGACACGGUCCAGGCUCCUACGGGAGGCAGCAGUAGGGAAUCUUCCGCAAUGGGCGAAAGCCUGACGGAGCAACGCCGCGUGAGUGAUGAAGGUCUUCGGAUCGUAAAACUCUGUUAUUAGGGAAGAACAAAUGUGUAAGUAACUAUGCACGUCUUGACGGUACCUAAUCAGAAAGCCACGGCUAACUACGUG